rnacentral:rRNA from 1 species
UAACGCGUGAGUAACCUGCCUUUCANAGGGGGAUAACGUUCUGAAAAGAACGCUAAUACCGCAUGAGACUACAGAGCUGCAUGGCUCAGUGGUCAAAGGAGCAAUCCGCUGAAAGAUGGACUCGCGUCCGAUUAGAUAGUAGGCGGGGUAACGGCCCACCUAGUCGACGAUCGGUAGCCGGACUGAGAGGUUGAACGGCCACAUUGGGACUGAGACACGGCCCAGACUCCUACGGGAGGCAGCAUG